UACGUAGGGUGCAAGCGUUGUCCGGAAUUAUUGGGCGUAAAGGGCUCGUAGGUGGCCAACUAAGUCAGACGUGAAAUCCCUCGGCUUAACCGGGGAACUGCGUCUGAUACUGGAUGGCUUGAGUUCGGGAGAGGGAUGCGGAAUUCCAGGUGUAGCGGUGAAAUGCGUAGAUAUCUGGAGGAACACCGGUGGCGAAGGCGGCAUCCUGGACCGACACUGACACUGAGGAGCGAAAGCCAGGGGAGCAAACGGG
rnacentral:rRNA from 1 species